UAUGCCAAUGGCACUGCCCGGUAGCUAAAUGCGGAAGAGAUAAGUGCUGAAAGCAUCUAAGCACGAAACUUGCCCCGAGAUGAGUUCUCCCUGAGACUAUAAGUCUCCUGAAGGAACGUUGAAGACGACGACGUUGAUAGGCCGGGUGUGUAAGCGCAGCGAUGCGUUGAGCUAACCGGUACUAAUGAACCGUGAGGCUUAACCUUAC
rnacentral:rRNA from 1 species